AGAGGAGGAAGAGGAGGAGGAGGAAAAGAAGAAGGAGAAGAAACGUUUAAUUUGUGUUACUCAUUUACCCGCUGGAGCAUACUCAGACUCCUAGUGUCCAGCCCCUUAGAGAAUACUGUGUCCUUCCUCACCCCCACAUCUGCCAGAAGCCAUCAAUUGUGCAGAGCUACUUCAGCAUCCUUAUCACAGUUUUUAAGAGUUCUUUUCUAUGGCUUUCUGUCUAGGCUGUUGCCGCAGACCCUCUGGGCCCCUUUGUCUGCGUGGAAUGGGUCUCUAGUCGCAGGUGGGCAAAGCGUUGGAUGAAAUGACAGACAGAUGCACACAGGAGAGGUUGUGUAGAAUCUGAAUGUAAUUUGUCAAAUCGAGCAUCAAACUUUUUAUACAGAAGAGAAUAGGGAAGUUGGGUGACACACCAGCAAGGUACAAAGAGAUUACUGGAUUCUUACACAAAACAGAAGAAUACAAACACAGAAGGUCUGGCAGGAACCACCUGGGAUAGAAUUCAUUGUUAACAACUGGGAUCAAAAAGAGCUCCACCUAAGAUCCACUUAAUCUUAGAAGCCAGGGCCAAGGGCUUCGUGCCCUUGCCAUAGUUCCUAUUCUAGUCUAUUGUAUAGUCCACCUUUCCCCUAGGCCAUUGUAAAUACGUGUAUAUAGGUGUAACUCAGCUAUCCAUAGUUCUAAGUAUUUAUUGGCUGUUACUUUUUUGGGGGUGGAAUGGGGUGGGGAGGGGUCCACAGAAACCUUCUAUGUGCCCUUUUCUUAGUUGUGAAUCUGCAAUCAUCGAUACCACUACAAAUAUAACCCCCUUGCCCUUUACAGUCAGUGGGAGCACAGCUUCUGGUGAUAGCAUGGACCAUGGACACCCACAUGGAUAGCUUUCAGCAGUAGCACAGGCCAAGAACAUCAACCUGGCCUCUGGGACAACAAGAGCCAUCAACACCAACAUGGUCCUGGCAGCAGCUGGGCCCAUGGGCAUUAAAUGGCUUCAGAUGGCAGCAUAGGACACAGAAAUCCACAUGGCCUUUGGUGGUAACACAGACAUCAACACAACCCUUAGGUGCAACAGGACCACGGACCCCAUCAUGGUCCACUGCAGCAGCAUGAACCACAGACAUCAGCAUGGCCUUAUAUGGCUACACAAGCCAGUCACAUCAAAAUGGUCCCUGGAAGCAGCAUGGCUCAUGGACACCAACAUGGAUUCAGGUGGCAACACAGACAAUGAAUAUUUGCAAGGUCUUCAGUGCUAACAUGCAAGACAGACAUCAACACAGUCCCUAGCUGCAGCAGGACUGUGGUCUCAAACAUAGCCCUUGGUGGCAGCAUGGACCAUGGACACCAAUGGCCUCAGGUAGCAGUAUAGACCUCACACAUCAAUAUGGCCUCCAGAGGUAACCCAGACCAUGGACAUCAACAUGGCCUCCAGUGGUAGCCCAAACUGUGGACAUGAAUCUCAGAUUUAACAUGGCCUGUUGGGAGUGACCCUGUUUGAAUGUUAACUGCCUUGUCAGCCAUAAGUGCUUACUUACAAAAUCUUGGCCUUAGUGGAAAAGUACUAGCUUAGUUGAGAUUUCUGUGGGAAAAGUUGAGGCCUCUGUAGGAAAGUACUACCCCUAGUUAAGAACAAAUAGCUAUAGAUCUUGUGGACAGGUACCUAGCUCUAUUCUGUUCCUCCUGCUGAACUUUUUACCUAGCCAAUAUCCUGCUUUGGGGAACAGGUGUGUUCCCCAAGAAACAAAGUGAUUCUGCGUCAUCCUCCUCCCCCUAUCCUGCUUCUAUGGGUAUAAAACCUGUCUGGGAAAAAUAAAAUUUGUCAGCUUGAUCA
rnacentral:lncRNA from 1 species